rnacentral:misc_RNA from 1 species
CCUUCAUCUCAUGAGAGUGGAGCUAAACAGCAUGCACCUACUUCUCAAGAUGUUGGUACUCAAUAAUAAAUGCCUACAUCUCAUUAGAUUAUUCAAUCAUAGCUACGACGAUGCAUUGUUCAUGGCAUAAGAUCAUUGGCUGUAAAUGGUGAUACGUAAGUAAUACAUACUGGUUAUUUAAAAUUAAGUAAUGUAUACAUAAAUUAUGAGAUUAUUCAGCACAUGAAAGUGCUUCUUAUUCAUUUUGUAGGUUUCACCUACAUGAUACUGCUCAGGAUGUCACAUAAGCAUUUAAAAAGAACUUUCAUGGCUCAUAGCCUUGUUGGUGCAAGGUUCUAGCUCAUAGUCGGGACCAAUGGUUCAAUCCUUUUGAGGUUUAAAUACUUAAUUGCAAUAUAUGACUAACUAAUCUUCUUUACUAAAAGUUUAUGUUUUAAUUUCAUACAUAAAUUAAACUGACAUGUUUUUUUUGUGCUUGUUGUAGAGAAAUUAUUCCAUUAAAGAUGAGCAUAAAGAUAUGAUUCGGGAUACAUUUGAGCGUGUGGGGAGUGGAAGGUUGAGUGACACUUUAGGAAAGGCCAAAAAAGCAUUUUAAAAAAUGAAGAAAAUACCAAAGUGGAUCAGUCAAAAUCAUUGGGAUGAUUUAAUGAAGUAUUGGAAUACAGAAAAUUUUAAGAAAACAUCAUCCAUCAACUCAAAGAAUAGAAAGUCGAGCAAUAAUGGAGAAGGUCCAUCCUUACAUACUGGAGGAUCAGUUGCAUUUGAUGAAUAUAGAAGAAGAUAUGUAGGUGUUAUAUAAGUUUUAAACAUACUUAUCAUAAUUUAGUUUUCCUUAAAUUAACAUUGAUUAUUUGUUUCAUGAUUAUAGAGAGAAACGACUAAUCAAGUAU